CUGCUGACCUGGUCAUUGUGAUGAAGAGAGGAAACAUUUUGGAAUACGACACCCCGGAAAGCCUCUUGGCCCAGGAGGAUGGAGUGUUCGCCUCGUUCGUUCGUGCGGACAUGUGACAGGAUUACAUCACAACAGCACCUGUGUCUCGAUGCCUACCGUCGCCCACCAGAGGGAUCCCCCAACUUUGCCUCGGAAGGGUGGCGCCGGAAACUUCGACAGACUUCUGUAUGGAAAGUAGAGAUUUCUGUUUCCUGUUUUGGUCUGAGGGACACUCCCUGUAGGUUCAUCGUGGGUGUUGUACUGUGAUCAGGCCACACUGGAAAGGUAGCCUAUGCUAAAACAUGCCAGCGACCUUAAGGGGUAAAUCUGUCGAUGUCUGUCAAGCACUGGAGCUGAAAUGAGUCGUCUGUGCUACCACACUCUCAUUAGGAAGACUAGCACUGCCCUGCUGUUGAUGAAGAAAAUUCAUUUUCUAACAAAAUACUCACGUUCAUGAUCCAUAGGAGAGUCUUUUCUGUGCAUUUAACAUUGUUGAUAUUUUUUUUUAACUUUUCCCCUUUUAAAUCAUUUCCUGUCACCACGAAGCUAUCAUAUUUAGUACCUCUAUAAAGCCGACCCCUCACAAGAGAAAGAUCAUGAAAAGAGAUUGAAUAUUUGAAAAUAUUAUUUGUUUCCAUUUGCCUCCAUCCAAUAAGGAGGAAGUUCAAGUUAGCUUCAGUCCUUCAGCAAUGGGCCACCUAAACUAAGCUUUCUAGAGUUUAAUUCUUUAUCAGCCAAACAAUGGCUCUGAACCCUGAAAUGCUAUAUUAUCUAGGGCCCAAAAGAAUAUAGAUGAAUGGCCUUAUCUGUCACACACACAGACACACACACACACACACACACACACACAUAUACAUACACAUCUUCAUGCCAUAUCUUGGCUGUAUGCUAAUCUUGGCAUGUGCACAUUCCUCGAAGGUUCCAGAUAUCCCCUACCCUACAUCUCUGUGGGAAGAUAGAAAUAGUUCCCACUCUGAAUCUACACAGGUAGCAAGUGUUUAUUUUCACUUGGGCAAAUUUCAGUGGCAGACAUUGAUGUCACACAUGUGGCCAUUGGUCCUGUUCUAAUUUAUAGAGUGUACCAGAAGUCUAUAUGAUAUUAGUGUCACAUUUCAUUUAACUGCCCAUUAAUAAAGCCAAACUGACUGAAGUUCACUUCCCUGUUAUCCCAGCUUCCACAGUUUCUGUAACCUUUAACCAUCAGAUAUAAGCACUGCUCAAUUCCAUAUGAGGGUCUCCACAGAAAAUAGAUGCCCCAUCCCCACCGUUCCUGUAGUCAUAUUGCGUUCUUUAUUCUGUGUCAAGACUUAUAGUUCUUGUGCAUCGAGAUAUUUCAAGGUGCCUUUAUGGAUAUAGAACGUAAUAUAAGAAAAACGUUCAUAGAGAUAGACAGAAACGGCCCAGGUUACUUAGCCUAAUUAGUCACCUUUUCUUCCAUAUCAAAAACUUCAUUAGAAAAAAAUAAUAGUAUUAUUUGCAGAAAGCUAGUAGGUCACAGCUAUUAGCAAUGAGUUCAACCUCAAAAGUACUUCAUAAGAGAAUCGACUAAUCUACUAAAAUAUUGCUGGUGUGAGAAGGUUCUGCUGGGGCUGGAUACCCAUGACGUUUGUUGUCAGUCAGUGUCUCCUUCUCUCCUAGAAAUGGCAUUCAUCUACAGAAGUAGCUCCCUCGCUGUAGCCCACUACGCCAUCCUGUGCAAAAGUGACUUUCGUUUCCUCGAAACUUUUACUUACUUGAUUUGCAAAAAACAAACAAACAAAAAAAAAAACAAACAAACAAAACACCUACCAAACGAAGUCUGGUGACAUCUCAGUCAGUCGAUCAGGAAUUGCGUUGUCUGGGUGACCUGCAAUGACAGAAAGGAGCUUUUACUGUAGUUAAGACUGUAAGAAAAGAAAAUCGCCUCCACAGAGUUAAAUUUUACAUCGAUAUAACCAAAUCGAAUUCACACAGAUUGAUCCUAUCCUGUCUGUGAAAAGCAAGAAGUGCAGAUGUGUUCAUGAUAAAAUGACAGGGUUGUUGGGGUCGCCCUGUGUAUAAGGAUCGCUUUCCUCAAAGGUUGUGGCGCACACACCCUGCCACUACUCCUCAUGACUCUUCUAGAUGUAGGUUAGACACUGAAAGAUCUUUCUAAGCAUCUGGUGUGAUCAGGACCUUAUCUUGUCCAUCUUCCUGUGCCCUUGGCACUAAAACAAGUGCAUGGCUCCAAAUAAAUAAAGUGGUUUCUCCCCGGACUUCUUCUUUUAUUUUUCUUUUAACUUCUCGUCAUGUGGCUAUAACUGUGGGCUCCUCUUGACUUCCUCUUUACUACGCUUAUCCUAUUUAUUCUCAGUAUAUGGAAUUCAUUUAUUAUGCGCACUGUAUGUUUUCUCUCUGUAGUACAUGAGAGCUUAUUGGCUUACCUUAUAUAAUAAAUUAACCCUUUGUUUACCC
rnacentral:lncRNA from 1 species